rnacentral:lncRNA from 1 species
CUAAAUGUAGCAUAUCUUCAUUACAAUAAAGCAGACAUUUUGCACUUGUUCUUUUAUAUGUAUCUUUCAAAGUGUCGGAGAAAAUGCAAAUACAAGCAAAAGUCAUAAUUGAGAACUUGACCUUGACCUUUGACCUUGACCUCAUUUUCUAAGUUAGGACCUAGGGGCCUCAAAUAAAAACAUUCCAGGGUUAUACGGUUAAUAGUUGAUGAGUUAAAAAAACAUACCGACAAAUUUAUUUUGUAAAGGUAGAUAACUCCUAUAAAAUUUCAUCGAAUCGCUUCGAUCCAAAUUAGCCAAAAAUUCUUGAGGAUGUAACGGACAAUUUGUAAAAAGAAAUUUGUCGCUAUCUUUUUUUGUUACGAAGGAUAUGCACACAGAUGGUAAACAGUGAAUAGGGAGAUAACUCUUACAAAGAAAAUGGUUCGGCUUAGCAGGGUGAAAUUUAAAAGCGCAUAAACUAUAUGAUACCAUAUAAGAAAUAUCUAAGCGAC